rnacentral:rRNA from 1 species
UACGUAGGCAGCAAGCGUUGUUCGGAGUUACUGGGCGUAAAGGGUGCGUAGGCGGCUUUUUAAGUUUGGUGUGAAAUCUCCCGGCUCAACUGGGAGGGUGCGCUAUAAACUGCGGGACUAGAGUGUGGGAGAGGAAAGUGGAAUUCCUGGUGUAGCGGUGAAAUGCGUAGAUAUCAGGAGGAACACCGGUGGUGUAAACGGCUUUCUGGACCAUAACUGACGCUGAGGCACGAAAGCGUGGGUAGCAAACAGG